UAGGGAAUCUUCCGCAAUGGGCGAAAGCCUGACGGAGCAACGCCGCGUGAGUGAUGAAGGUCUUCGGAUCGUAAAACUCUGUUAUUAGGGAAGAACAAAUGUGUAAGUAACUAUGCACGUCUUGACGGUACCUAAUCAGAAAGCCACGGCUAACUACGUGCCAGCAGCCGCGGUAAUACGUAGGUGGCAAGCGUUAUCCGGAAUUAUUGGGCGUAAAGCGCGCGUAGGCGGUUUUUUAAGUCUGAUGUGAAAGCCCACGGCUCAACCGUGGAAGGUCAGUGGAAACUGGAAAACUUGAGUGCAGAGGAGGAAAGUGUGAUUCCGUGUGUAGCGGUGAAAUGCGCAGAAAUAUGGAGGAACACCAGUGGCGAAGGGGACUAUCUGAUCUGUAACUGACGCUGAUGUGCGAAAGCGUGGGGAUCAAACAGG
rnacentral:rRNA from 1 species